rnacentral:misc_RNA from 1 species
UUUCCGUAGGUGAACCUGCGGAAGGAUCAUUAAAGAAUUGCCCCGUCUUCUCGAUGAUGGGUUCUAUUCCAAACCGUGUUUACAUACCUUUGUUGCUUUGGCGGGCCGCCGCUUCGGCGUUGGCUCCGGCUGACUGCGCCCGCCAGAGGACCACAACUCUUUUGUUUAGUAAUGUCUGAGUACUAUAUAAUAGUUAAAACUUUCAACAACGGAUCUCUUGGUUCUG